rnacentral:rRNA from 1 species
UGUAGCGCUGAAGGUUGGUACUUGUACCAACUGGAUGAGCAGCGAACGGGUGAGUAACGCGUGGGGAAUCUGCCUUUGAGCGGGGGACAACAUUUGGAAACGAAUGCUAAUACCGCAUAAAAACUUUAAACACAAGUUUUAAGUUUUGAAAGAUGCAAUUCGCAUCACUCAAAGAUGAUCCCGCGUUGUAUUAGCUAGUUGGUGAGGUAAAGGCUCACCAAGGCGAUGAUACAUAGCCGACCUGAGAGGGUGAUCGGCCACAUUGGGACUGAGACACGGCCCAAACUCCUACGGGAGGCAGCAGUAGGGAAUCUUCGGCAAUGGACGAAAGUCUGACCGAGCAACGCCGCGUGAGUGAAGAAGGUUUUCGGAUCGUAAAACUCUGUUGGUAGAGAAGAACGUUGGUGAGAGUGGAAAGCUCAUCAAGUGACGGUAACUACCCAGAAAGGGACGGCUAACUACGUGCCAGCAGCCGCGGUAAUACGUAGGUCCCGAGCGUUGUCCGGAUUUAUUGGGCGUAAAGCGAGCGCAGGUGGUUUAUUAAGUCUGGUGUAAAAGGCAGUGGCUCAACCAUUGUAUGCAUUGGAAACUGGUAGACUUGAGUGCAGGAGAGGAGAGUGGAAUUCCAUGUGUAGCGGUGAAAUGCGUAGAUAUAUGGAGGAACACCGGUGGCGAAAGCGGCUCUCUGGCCUGUAACUGACACUGAGGCUCGAAAGCGUGGGGAGCAAACAGGAUUAGAUACCCUGGUAGUCCACGCCGUAAACGAUGAGUGCUAGAUGUAGGGAGCUAUAAGUUCUCUGUAUCGCAGCUAACGCAAUAAGCACUCCGCCUGGGGAGUACGACCGCAAGGUUGAAACUCAAAGGAAUUGACGGGGGCCCGCACAAGCGGUGGAGCAUGGUGGUUUAAUUCGAAGCAACGCGAGAACCUUACCAGUCUGACAUACUCGUGCUAUUCCUAGAGAUAGGAGGUUCUUCUGGACACGGAUACAAGGGGGUGGCAUGGGUGUCGUCAGCUCGUGUCGUGAGAAGGUGUGGGUUAAAACGCACGAGCGCAAACUAUGGUAGGUGGCCAUCCAUAAAUGGCACUCCUACAAGACUGCGCUGAUAACGAGAAAAUGAUAAACUCAAUCAUCUUGCUCCUUUUAGUAUAUAGGCUCGACCACCUGCCUCUACUAUGGAUGGUCACGAGAUCCGCGACAAGGAGUAACUAUCUAACACAAUACACUCGUCUCUCGAAUGAUAGGCUGA